UAAUCUCAUGUGGUAACUGUGAGUGAUUUGCGCAACCUCAGAUUGCCACGUGGGGUUUCA
rnacentral:pre_miRNA from 1 species